rnacentral:rRNA from 1 species
UACGGAGGGUGCAAGCGUUAAUCGGAAUUACUGGGCGUAAAGCGCGCGUAGGCGGUUUGCUAAGUCAGAUGUGAAAUCCCCGGGCUCAACCUGGGAAUGGCAUUUGAGACUGGUAGGCUAGAAUGUGGUAGAGGUGAGUGGAAUUCCAGGUGUAGCGGUGAAAUGCGUAGAGAUCUGGAGGAACAUCAGUGGCGAAGGCGACUCACUGGGCCAUUAUUGACGCUGAGGUGCGAAAGCGUGGGUAGCAAACAGG